GACGUAGGGUGCGAGCGUUGUCCGGAUUUAUUGGGCGUAAAGAGCUCGUAGGCGGCUCGUCGCGUCGACCGUGAAAACCCGCGGCUUAACUGCGGGCUUGCGGUUGAUACGGGCGGGCUAGAGUUCGGUAGGGGAGACUGGAAUUCCAGGUGUAGCGGUGAAAUGCGUAGAUAUCUGGAGGAACACCGGUGGCGAAGGCGGCAUCCUGGACCAAUAUUGACGCUGAGGAGCGAAAGCCAGGGGAGCAAACGGG
rnacentral:rRNA from 1 species